rnacentral:lncRNA from 10 species
UCAGAAGGAGUCUUGCUCGGUCACCUCACCCAGGCUAGACUGCAGUGGCGCGAUCUCGGCUCACUGCAAGCUCCGCCUCCCAAGUUCAAGCGAUUCUCCUGCUUCGGCCGCCAGAGCAGCUGGGACUACAGGCGCCCGCCACCACGCCCGGCUAAUUUUUUGUAUCUUUAGUAGAGACAGGGUUUCACCGUGUUAGCCAGGAUGGUCUCCAUCUUCUGACCUCGUGAUCCACCCGCCUCGGACUCCCAAAUCGCUGGGAUUACAGGCGUGAGCCAUGCAUAUUUCCUUGUUAAUGAUAACUACAAUAGCAAAGAGUUAUUGAGUGAACACUGACAAUGACCCUAUGAGGUAGAGAUGUUAGGUAAGGAGACUGAGAAAGGAUAACUUAGUUAAUUUACCUUAGGUCAAAGAGCUAGAAAACUAAUAUAUUUAGGAUUCAACCCCCCGAAAAAUCUUCUCUUUUACUCUUUACAUUACAUCAUGUUACCUCCCUAUUCUGUCCCGAGAGGGCCAUUAUAUUAUUUCCAAUCCUCUGACAUUGUGACUAGAUCAAGAUCUGCGAGCGUACUGUCAUCUGUGACCAGCAUGAUGCUAGUAUAGGUGUAGGAAGAAGAAAGAGAUUGACUGGCAAGAUUUAACUAGCCAUCUUAUUAAAUGUCUCUAUUCAAUGAGAGCUGAGACAGAUAAAUAUCAAACAGUGAGUGUCACUUUUAACCAAUUGGAAAUAUCAAGGGCUUAUCUCAGAAGAGGAUUAUGCCUCUGUUAGAAAACUCUAGGAUGGCUACAUGCUUAGGACAGAGGGAUGAGAGAAAAUUGUUGGAUCACAAAAAAAAAAAAGAUAAAUUAUAUAUGAUUUCAUGAUUAAGGUGGUAUAUACUCACAAAAUGUAAAAAUAUUGCCUGUUGUAUCCUAGCCACCCUGUGCUUGAAAUGCCAACUAAAUGUGACAUGGGAGAUUGGUGCUUAGGACAAUGACUACCUUAUCCUCUCUCCCCUUGUAAUGAGAGGGAUUUCUGGUUGUUUUCUCCAUGGAGAAACCAUUUAUUAAAUAUUAUGAUGCUUGGCAAUUUGCCUCACUGGAAGAUAUUUGGCUAAUCCCUUUCAUUAUCUAUAAAAUCAGAAUAACAAUAAUAACUAUGUGUUUGGGGGUACUGUUUUCAAUUUUAGCUUUUACUGUUUUUAUUGUUAUUUUUAUAUUUAUUUAAAGUUGUCAGCCAAUGAGCACAACCAUCUGGUUAACAAUUGUGAAAUAGUACAGAGGCUCCUUGACUUAUAAUGGGGUCUAUAAAUCAACCGUGAGUUCAAAAUAUCAAAAAAUCCUGUGUCAAAAAUGCUCUUAAUACAACUAACCUACCAAACAUCACAGCUUAGCUUAGCCUACCUUAAAUGUGCUCAGAAAACUUGCAUUAGCCUACAGUUGGGCAAAAGCACCUAACAAAAAAUUCUGUUUUAUUAUAAAGUGUUGAAUAUCUCAUGUAAUUUAUUGAACACCGAAAGUGAAAAACAGAAUGGUUGUAUGAGUACUUGAAGUAAGGUUUCUACUAAAUGUGUAUUGAUUUUUGGUAUGGUUUGGCUGUGUCCCCACCCAAAUCUUAUCUUGAAUUGUAGCUCCCAUAAUUCCCACGUGUUGUGGGAGAAACUCAGUGGGAGAUAAUUGAGUCAUGGGGAUGGUUUCCCCCAUACUGUUCUCGUGGUAUGAGUAAGUCUCAUGAGAUCUGAUGGUUUUAUAAGGGGAAACCCCUUUCUCUUGGAUCUCAUUGUCUCUUGUCAGCCACCUUGUAAGAAAUGUCUUUUGCUUUCCACCAUGAUCAUGAGACCUCACCAGCCACGCGGAACUGUGAGUCCAUUAAACCUCUUUCUCUUUAUAAAUUACUCAUUCUUGAGUAUGUUUUUAUCAGUUGCAUGAGAAAGGUGAAUACACUUUUGCACCAUCAUAGAAAUGAAAAAUUGUAACUUCAGGCCGGGCGCUGUGGCUCACGCCUGUAAUCCCAUCACUUUGGGAGGCCAAGACGGGUGGAUCACGAGGUCAGGAGUUCAAGACCAGCCUGGCCAAGAUGGUGAAACCCCAUCUCUACUGAAAAUACAAAAAUUAGCUGGGCGUGGUAGCGGGUGCCUGUAAUCCCAGCUACUCAGGAGGCUGAGGCAGAGAUUGCUUGAACCUGGAAGGCUGAGUUUGCAGUGAGCUGGAAUAGUGCCACUGCACUCCAGCCUGGGUGACAGAGUGAGACUCCAUUUCAAAAAAAAAAAAAAGAAAAGAUUGUGAUUUCAACCAUCACAAGUCAGGGACCAUCUAUAUUUACUUACUCUUCCACUAUAUAGAAUAUUCACACUAAAGAGGAUGAUCCAAUAGUCAACUGUCAUUUAUUUGAAAAGGAAAAUGUAAAGGGUAGGACCUUGACUACUUUCACUGAAAUGAUGCUAAUUUUGUAUCAAAUUGAUGUUUUAUUCUUUAUCAGUGUUUUAAUCUACCAUAGUGUUUGUAACAUCAAUCUUAUAACCAUGAGCCUGAAAUCAUAUGAAGCCUUCUUGAAAAGGCCCUGGGUCCUCUUUAAAUACUACAGAAUCUGCAUCUCUUGGAGUAAAACCACAUAUUAAAAAAUACAUUUAUUUCAGAUAAUUCCUACUAACAUAAAGUUUGAUUGAUGACUAUUGAUUCAAUCUCUGUGAAUCUUUUACUGUGUGUGUGCAUGUAUAUAUAUAAAAUGUGCAUACAUAUAGAUAUGUGUGUAUAUAUAUGAUGUACACAUAAAAUAAUUUUUACUCAAAUAAUAUCUUGUUUUAUUUUCUCAGAAUACUUUCUUUUUCAGUUCUGACCUGUAUUAAACAGUGUAACAUUCUCCUUUUACAAAUAGGUAUCAUCAGACAAACUUAAAGAUGAUCUGACAAUGUCAUUUUCCAAGGGACUGAUAGAAAGAUUGAGUAUCAUGGAAUCAGAACAGACAACAGAGAAUCAGAUUUGGACUGAAUCAGAAUAAACAGGCAAUGCAGACACUUGUUCUCUGAAUCACAAUCAAGACUCAGUGCUGGAACAGAUUUGAGGAAUGUAUACAAUUCUUAUCUAAACUGAUGUCUGAUAUUUAACCAGGUUAAAGUUUUUUCUUUUAUUUUAAUGUGAGAAAAAUUUAACAGAUAAUACAUUUUCCCUUCACUACUCAAUGUCUCAGUUAGAAUUUCAUCUGAAUUGCAUUUAUUCAAUUCAUUUUAUUUCUUGACUUGGUGGAUUUAAUAUUCCUGGCAUGCUUUGAAAACAUGGCUGAAUGCAUUUAUGAAUGAAAAUUGACAAAUCCUAGUUCUGUUUCUUAAAUACAUUAUUUGUCACAAGCUUUAGAAGAAAAUCACUAAUUAUUUAAUGUGGUUGUAUUUUCAAAUCCCUGAAAAGUGUUGAAUGCUAUAUACCAAACAUAUAUUGGCAUAUCAAAUGUUGCCCAAGAGUCAAGCAUGACUUUUAUAAGAAGUUGCAAGAAAAGAUUGAAAAUAUUUGUAAAAAUGAAUAUUUUGUCACUCUUUAAGAACCAGAAUGCUUUGAUCUACAUUUGUAGAUUUCUAGUUUGGAUAAGUUAUUUGGAGAAAUAAACAAAAUUGUUUUAUUGAAAAAGUUUUAUGUUAAUUUCAUAGUUGACUGUUUCCAUGGAAAAUAAAAAUAUUUUUGACUCUUACCAUAAACUCUUAGAUUUAAUGUCACCUUUGGUUGUUUAUCUGUACAUUUCUUCCUAUUCAAUCUCCAGACAUAUCUCCAAAUAUAUCACGGUAUAAAAAGUAGAAAACACUGUAGAA